AUUGAACGCUGGCGGCAUGCCUUACACAUGCAAGUCGAACGGCAGCAUGAUCUAGCUUGCUAGAUUGAUGGCGAGUGGCGAACGGGUGAGUAAUACAUCGGAACGUGCCCUGUAGUGGGGGAUAACUAGUCGAAAGAUUAGCUAAUACCGCAUACGACCUGAGGGUGAAAGUGGGGGACCGCAAGGCCUCAUGCUAUAGGAGCGGCCGAUGUCUGAUUAGCUAGUUGGUGAGGUAAAGGCACACCAAGGCGACGAUCAGUAGCUGGUCUGAGAGGACGAUCAGCCACACUGGGACUGAGACACGGCCCAGACUCCUACGGGAGGCAGCAGUGGGGAAUUUUGGACAAUGGGCGAAAGCCUGAUCCAGCAAUGCCGCGUGUGUGAAGAAGGCCUUCGGGUUGUAAAGCACUUUUGUCCGGAAAGAAAUGGCUCUGGUUAAUACCUGGGGUCGAUGACGGUACCGGAAGAAUAAGGACCGGCUAACUACGUG
rnacentral:rRNA from 1 species